UGGGGAAUCUUGGACAAUGGGGGCAACCCUGAUCCAGCCAUGCCGCGUGAGUGAUGAAGGCCUUAGGGUCGUAAAGCUCUUUCGCCUGUGAAGAUAAUGACGGUAGCAGGUAAAGAAACCCCGGCUAACUCCGUGCCAGCAGCCGCGGUAAUACGGAGGGGGUUAGCGUUGUUCGGAAUUACUGGGCGUAAAGCGCACGUAGGCGGACCAGAAAGUUGGGGGGUGAAAUCCCGGGGGCUCAACCCCGGAACUGCCUCCAAAACUAUUGGUCUAGAGUUCGAGAGAGGUGAGUGGAAUUCCAAGUGUAGAGGUGAAAUUCGUAGAUAUUUGGAGGAACACCAGUGGCGAAGGCGGCUCACUGGCUCGAUACUGACGCUGAGGUGCGAAAGUGUGGGGGAGCAAAACAGGAUUAGAUACCCCUGGUAGUCCACACCGUAAAACGAUGAAUGCCCAGUCGUCGGGUAAGCAUGCUAUUCGGUGACACACCUAACGGAUUAAGCA
rnacentral:rRNA from 1 species